rnacentral:rRNA from 1 species
GACGUAGGGCGCGAGCGUUAAUCGGAAUUACUGGGCGUAAAGUGUGCGCAGGCGGCAGAGCAAGUCGAGUGUGAAAGCCCCGGGCUUAACUUGGGAAUUGCGCUCGAAACUACUUUGCUGGAGUGUGGCAGAGGAAGGUGGAAUUCCACGUGUAGCGGUGAAAUGCGUAGAGAUGUGGAGGAACACCAAUGGCGAAGGCAGCCUUCUGGGCCAACACUGACGCUCAUGCACGAAAGCGUGGGGAGCAAACAGG